rnacentral:lncRNA from 1 species
AUGGCGGCCUCUCAAGCUCCUCUGAACUCAGGAUACCUACUCUCUAUUGAAACCUUUCAGUUUCAGCUUCAGCUAGAGCUAAAGAAGACUGAUUAUGAGGCUCCUUGGUAUAUUCCUGCUGCUCUCCAUGGCUCUGUGCUGCUUCUUAGCCUACAUGUGAAUGCUCAGAAAUGUAUGACCCUGUCUGUGGCACUGAUGGACAAACAUAUCUCAAUGAAUGUGAAUUGUGUAGGGAAAAUAGGAAAAAAAUUAUUCCUGUCUGUGUCCUAAGAAAAGGGGUCUGCUUAGUAUCCCAAAGAUCCUGGUGCUCCCGUUACCAUAGCUAAUCAGACUGAGUUUUAAAUAAAUGCAUGAGAUUGAUUGCUGCUCUUUAUGUG